AUGAACGCUGGCGGCGUGCCUAAUACAUGCAAGUCGAGCGAACAGACAAGGAGCUUGCUCCUUUGACGUUAGCGGCGGACGGGUGAGUAACACGUGGGUAACCUACCUAUAAGACUGGGAUAACUUCGGGAAACCGGAGCUAAUACCGGAUAAUAUUUCGAACCGCAUGGUUCGAUAGUGAAAGRUGGUUUUGCUAUCACUUAUAGAUGGACCCGCGCCGUAUUAGCUAGUUGGUAAGGUAACGGCUUACCAAGGCGACGAUACGUAGCCGACCUGAGAGGGUGAUCGGCCACACUGGAACUGAGACACGGUCCAGACUCCUACGGGAGGCAGCAGUAGGGAAUCUUCCGCAAUGGGCGAAAGCCUGACGGAGCAACGCCGCGUGAGUGAUGAAGGUCUUCGGAUCGUAAAACUCUGUUAUUAGGGAAGAACAUACGUGUAAGUAACUGUGCACGUCUUGACGGUACCUAAUCAGAAAGC
rnacentral:rRNA from 1 species